GCCCUCAGUCCGAGUGCACAGCGUCUGUGAGGAGAGAGCGGGAAAGGCGCGCUCAGGAUACUACCAUGAGGCUCAGCAUAGUAACCGAGGAAAGGCUCGCAGUGAGAUUCCUUUCUACCGGAAACUCUUUUGCAUCGCGGCAUUUCGAGUUCUUAUAGGGGAUCUCAGCAGUUUCUGGGAUCGUCUGUCCAACUUGUAAAGUCAUCUGCAGCAACUCAGAGAAGCAGUGUUGCCACAACCCAAGGCGGAAGAUUGGCUUCGUACUGCCAAGGGAUUCUAUCGAUCUAAAACAGUUUCCAGACUGCAUCGGGCCCCUGGAUAGCAAACAUGUUGGGCUACUUUCACACUGGCGUUUGGUGCGGAAUCCGUCUUGUAUCUGCAGAGAUGGAUCCGCACGAAUAAUGCAAAUGCUUUUUAGUGACCGUCUAAAAAACGCCACGGACACCAAACUAAGCCAAAGUAUUGCAUUCUGAACAGAUCCUUAUCCAUUCAGAAUGCAUUGGGGCUGAACUGAUCCGUUUUGGGCCGCUCGUGAGAGCCCUGAAACCGAUCUCACAAGCGGACCCAGAAACGCCAGUGGGAAAGUAGCCUUAAGAAGCAACCUCACUGAGGUCCAGUUACAAACAAUAUUUUUUGGUGGCACUAUUAGCCUUGGCUUACAGUAACUACAGGUUUGUAAUUGCUGAUAUCGCGGCCUAUGGAAGCUCUAGAAUGGGUGAGGGGUUUUGCGCCAGUCACCUAGCCCUGCCAGAGCCCAGAAUACUUUCCGGAUCAUUGAGUCUACUGGUAUUUAGCAGACAAAGGUUUGCAUUGUUACCUCAUAUGAUACGACCCUUCCCAUGAUGAGGAUGUGCUAACAGUCGCCCAAAUCGCAACUACUGGUUUACUAGUGCCCAUCGGUAUGUUGAAUGUGCUUGAAUACUAUCCACAAAAUGGUGUUCAUGUUGUCCUUACAGAUGGAUCCAAACAAUGCCACCCUGGUGAUUCAAGCUUGUGUAGUUCUACACAGUUUAAUAAGAAUCCAUGAUGUGAUCUCAGAUGCUGACCUGGGCCAAAAUCUGAAGACUAUUAUCUGUCAUUUCUAGACCAGACCCGCCAUGGACUAAUCUGUGUGGACUACUUCAGUAACCCUGAGUGUGCAUUGUCGUGGCAAGUGGAUGCUAUUCGUGGCAGUUGUUGCUUUUAGCUGGUCUCUUAAUUUAUUCAAAAAUUAUUUUUUAGUGUAGGGACUUGCAAGAGAAUAAGGACCCUUGACGUGGGUUUGCAGGCUGGGGUAUUUUAUUAACCAAGUUCCACAUUCAAUCUUAAUUUAAGGAUUAAUUGUGAGGAAGUGAUAUUAUUUAGUUUACAAUGCCAUAGUAAGCAGAAUUACUGCAUGCACUAUGUGCCCUCCGUUUAUUUCCCCGCUCCGUUCUCAUUGUAGGUGCGGGUCCCUAAUGAUAUGCCCCCAUUUAUAUGAUUUAUGUUUCUAAUGAAGAAAUAUAAAG